rnacentral:tRNA from 1 species
GGGCUCUUAGCUCAGUUGGUUAGAGCUGCGGACUCAUAACCCGUCGGUCCCUGGUUCAAGUCCAGGAGGGCCCA